CCGCAAAAAUCGAAAAGCACGUGAGAUACCCCCAAAAAGGAUAACGCCCAAACAACCAGAACCAUCAUCAGCACAGAGCCCUCUCCCCUACAACGGUAACAUUACAGCCAACCAUCGUCGACAUUGCAGGACGAUCGUCUAUACAACAUCUCUUUCUCUCCGGACCUCUUUUUUCUUCGGUGUGCUUGCGUGUCUGCGCGUGUUGCCAUCGGUUCGCCAUCUCUCCUUCACCCCCUCUCUCACAAGCACCACGCCUUCUUCCGCUGCUUUCACAGGUCUUGGAAGCUGAGGUGACUUGACAAAGGACUUCAAGUGAACGACUGGCACACAGCUGACGAGCGCGAGGAUUUCUUCUUCUGUACCGCAUUUUUCUUUUCUUUGAUUAUCUUGUUUUCGAACUGCCUUUUCAGGGAUUGCUCCACUGAUCACAGCGAUGUCGGCCCAGCAGCAGCAGCCUGAGGAGAACGGUGAUCGCAUGGUCGCCGCACGCGCCAAGGCGGAGGCUGCCCGCAUGGCCGCCGAGCGCCGUCGCUCCAUGAACAGCGAUGCUCGAGAACGCAGCAAUUCCCCUGACAUCCAUGACACACCGACGCCGCUCAGGGGUGCGACACAGGAGCGCAGCAGCAGUGUUGAUCUCGCCAAUGGCGGUAUCGAGGCACUUCAUGGGGAUUCCGGCGAACAUCGUCGGAACAGCAGCGCCCUAAAACGCCGCUCGUCGACGCCGAAGAAAGGCAUGCGCGGUGGGUCCCGCCGUGGCAGCGGCGUUGCUGCCGCCGGCUUCUCCAACGCCUCGCACUCCGGCACGAAGAAAGCGGCGCACCCGCAGACGCCGGAGGAAUACGCGGCGGCGAUUGAGGAGAUGCGCCAGGAGUACGAGCGCAUUACCAUGAAGGACGAGGAGCUAGAGGAGCGCCUGCAGCUGUACAGCGACGUGGUCGGCCUGCGCAAGGAGCUGGUGAUAGUGCAGGAGGACGAGGCGCGCCUGCGCCAACAGCUGGCCGCGACCGAGGCUGUCAUCGCGUCGAGCGACCCGACAGUGGAGAAGAUGGUGUCCAUCUAUGAGGAAGAGGCCCAGCAGUCCGCGCUGCAGAAGUUGUGGAUGGAGGAGUCCGAGUGCCACAACCCCGACACUAUGGAGUGGGCUGAGAUCGACGUCAACAACCUGCGCGAGCGCGUUGACGAGGCCCACAAGAAGUUUACGGCUGCGGCCGAGAAGGCCGACUCCUUGUACCUGCAGCAGGAGGAGGCCAUCAACAAGACGACGGACGCCCGCGAGCGUGAAAGGGCGACCAUUGCGGAGAACCACGAGCGAGAGAUGGAGGGUCUCAGCGAGGCCCGCAUCCAUGCCCGUCAGGUAGCCACAGAGCAGCACUUUCACCGUCAUCGCGGUACGGCGCAGGCCCCGCCGGUGGUGUUAACGAAGGAUAAGGAGCGCACGACGCGUCAGCGCCGCGUCGACGAGGUCGAGUUCCGCACCACCGCGCAGGUAGGCAAGAUGAAGGACGAGCUGACGGAGCUGAUGGAGCAGGUGAAGAUGCUAAAGCGUCACCUGGACGACUCCCGUCAGGUGACAGAGGAGAAGCGCCGCGAGUACGAGGCGUCCCUAAAGGUCGUCGAGGCGGAGGGCUCCGAGGCGCGCGAGAUGAAGGAGGGUCUGCUGAAGGAGGAGGAGGAACUAAAGGAGCUCAAGGCAGACCUUCAGGCUGUGCUGCACUACGUGCGCGCCAAGAAUCGCGAGGAGGAGGGCUGGUAAAGAGGGCUGACUUGGUGAGGGAGCGAAGCAGCACGGCUUCCACACGCAGCCAGGGUGGCUGCGAAAGGCUGAGGGUGUGGGAGGCGUGCACCUGAAGCGGCUCCUCUGUCGCGCAUGCGCGUGUGUUUGUGUGUGCUCACUUUGCCUGCGAGACGCAGUACAAGAGAGAGGCACCUUCUUUCUCUCCUCCUUUCUCCGCCCCACAUAUGUGCCCCCUCCCCCUUCCCCGGAUGUGCUUGUGCGUGCCUGUGCGCGUUGCUGGAGUCCGUGCUGCAGGCACGGCAGCACACGCACCUCGCACCACCUCGCUCCCUCCACAUCUUCGCCCACUUCGCAUUUCUUGUUCUUGCAUUUCUGUGCGUGUUUCGCUGUGCCAUCUCUCUCUUCUUUUCUUUUUGGAUGUCGUGCUAUCGUCGACGACGGUUGUCUGCCGCGGCUGUUUUUCGCAUUACCCUGUUGUUUCCGCUUCUGUGUAUGAUGGUGUGCGUUGGUGUAGUACGGCGAGCGCACCCUCUUCUUGCUUCAUGCCGAUCGUCAUGCGCUCUUCCUCUUCCUGUUCCCCCUCCUCUUCCUUUCUGCCCUGUACGCAUCUGAAUUACUUUUCCCUUUUCUUUUAUGUUUCUCUUCUGUUUAUGAGACCUUAUUGUCUUGUCCAUAUAUGUUGAUUCUGCGUGUGUGCUUGUGUAUGAGGGAGAGCGCAUCGCUGUGGUGUGCAGGUGUUUCUGUUUUCCUUGAUGACGGCUAUAUAUAUAUAUAUAUACAUAUAUAUAUAAAUAUAUGCAUUUAUUUUUGGUUGAGGGAGGUGUUGCCGCCUGUCGCCUUGCCAUUCUCUGAGUGUCCGCGUAAGUACGCAUGUGUUUAUGUAUGUAUGUGUGUAUCUGUCUGUAUGUGUCGCUGUCUCUCUCUCUGUGCGUGCGUGUGGUCCGUGCCCGUGGUGACCCUGGAAUCUGCUUGCUUCAUGAGCAGAGAGGCGGCGACACACAUACAGACAUGUGCACUGAAAAGCAUGGAGCAGGUAGGAAGGGAAGAGUAGCGACAUGAGAACGUGAGGAAAGAGAAAAAACGAAGGAAACGGAAACGGAACUUAGUGGCGUGAGUGUGUGGGUGCACGCUUGUGUCGGACGUGUGUGUGCGUGUGUUUUGUAUAACUGUGCGUUGAUGGAUGCUUUCUCCCACUGGCUUCAUCUCUGUUGUGCGUACGUUGCGGUGGCGGUGGUAGGUGGUCACAGCGAAGCACUCCCUAUCCCGCCGUCCCUGUACUUAGGAAAGCGAAAUAGCAGACGAAAACCAACAAGAAGAGCAACGACGACAUCAAACGGACGGCAACCCCAUCGCCGUCGUAAACCAAAGGACAGUAUAUGUAUAGAUGUGUCCAUGCGAGACACACAAAGCCGCUGGCAGCAGCACACACGGACGGAGUGCGACACGGAGGAAAAUGGAAGGGGUUCACCCUCCUGCGUGGCGUCAAUGGAUGGCGGCAUGAUCAGCCGAUAUGUCCAUCACUGAUGCGCUGCGGGUCUUAUCUCUUUUUUUUUUCGGUUCUCCGCCUUGUGCUCACCCAGUGAUGCUCUG
rnacentral:misc_RNA from 1 species